AUGGCCGCCACCUGCCGCUUCGCCGCGCCACUGGGUCUCGCCCCGCUGCCUCGCAGCUGCGCCGGCGCCAAGAGCGUCGCUUUCUCGAUAGGCACCACCAAGGUAGCUACACGGACACGGAGCGUCGCGGUGAGGGCGGGCGACGGCUCGGCGGAGACGCCGGAAAUCCUCAAGGCUGCGCAGGACGCGUGGGCAAAAGUUGAGGACAAGUACGCCGUGGCCACCAUUGGCGUCGCCGGGCUCGUCGCGCUCUGGACAGCAGUGGGGGCGCUCAAGUCCAUUGACAAGCUUCCUAUCUUGCCUGGUGUGUUGGAGCUCGUUGGAAUCGGGUACACAGGAUGGUUCACAUAUCGCAACCUCAUCUUUCAGCCAGACAGGGAAACUCUGAUCAGCAACAUCAAGAGCACUUACAACGAAAUCACUGGGAGCAGCAGCUAA
rnacentral:rRNA from 1 species